UUAAAGUCUAAUCUGCCCUAUGAGGAUUUAAAUGGCCGCGGUAUUUUGACCGUGCAAAGGUAGCAUAAUAAUUAGUUUUUUAAUUGAAAGCUGGAAUGAAUGAUUGAACGAGAAAAUAGCUGUCUCAAUUUGAUUUUAUUAGAAUUUUAUUUUUAAGUAAAAAAGCUUAAAUAUUUUUAAAAGACGAGAAGACCCUAUAGAGUUUGAUAAUUAAUUAGUUAUAAAUUUUUUAGUAUUAUUUGGCUAUUAGUUAAUUAAUUAUUUUAUUGGGGUGAUAGAAAAAUAGAUUUAACUUUUUUUUGAUUAGUACAUUAAUUUAUGUUUUUUUGAUCCAUUAUUUAUGAUUAUAAGAUUAAGUUACCUUAGGGAUAACAGCGUAAUUUUUUUUUAGAGUUCUUAUCGAAAGAAAAGAUUGCGACCUCGAUGUUGGAUUAAAAUUAAUAUAGGGUGUAGAAGCUUUAUUAUUAGGUCUGUUCGACCUUUAAAAUUUUACA
rnacentral:rRNA from 1 species